CAGUAGGGAGGAAGGUAGUGUAGUUAACACCUGCAUUAUUUGACGUUACCUACAGAAGAAGCACCGGCUAACUCCGUGCCAGCAGCCGCGGUAAUACGGGAGGGUGCGAGCGUUAAUCGGAAUUACUGGGCGUAAAGCGCAUGCAGGCGGCCUGUUAAGUCAGAUGUAGAAAGGCCCGGGGACCGUUUAACCUACGGUAAAGUUGCAUUUAGUAAACGUGGCGAGGCUAGAGUCUUGUAGAGGGGGGUAGGAAUUUCAGGUGUAGCGGUGAAAUGCGUAGAGAUCUGAAGGAAUACCAGUGGCGAAGGCGGCCCCCUGGACAAAGACUGACGCUCAGAUGCGAAAGCGUGGGGAGCAAACAGGAUUAGAUACCCUGGUAG
rnacentral:rRNA from 1 species